rnacentral:rRNA from 1 species
UACGAAGGGGCUAGCGUUGCUCGGAUUGACUGGGCGUAAAGGGCGCGUAGGCGGUUCGUACAGUCAGACGUGAAAUCCUGGCUCAACCUGGGGGCUGCGUUUGAUACGUGCGACUGAGUGCGGAAGAGGGUCGUGGAAUUCCCAGUGUAGGAGGUGAAAUUCGUAGAUAUUGGGAAGAACACCGGUGGCGAAGGCGGCGACCUGGUCCGAUACUGACG